GACGAACGCUGGCGGCGUGCUUAACACAUGCAAGUCGAACGGAAAGGCCCUGCUUUUGUGGGGUGCUCGAGUGGCGAACGGGUGAGUAACACGUGAGUAACCUGCCCUUGACUUUGGUAUAACUUCAGGAAACUGGGGCUAAUACCGGAUAGGAGCUCCUGCUGCAUGGUGGGGUUUGGAAAGUUUCGGCGGUUGGGGAUGGACUCGCGGCUUAUCAGCUUGUUGGUGGGGUAGUGGCUUACCAAGGCUUUGACGGGUAGCCGGCCUGAGAGGGUGACCGGCCACAUUGGGACUGAGAUACGGCCCAGACUCUUACGGGAGGCAGCAGUGGGGAAUAUUGCACAAUGGGCGGAAGCCUGAUGCAGCAACGCCGCGUGCGGGAUGACGGCCUUCGGGUUGUAAACCGCUUUCGCCUGUGACGAAGCGUGAGUGACGGUAAUGGGUAAAGAAGCACCGGCUAACUACGUG
rnacentral:rRNA from 1 species